rnacentral:rRNA from 1 species
UACGUAGGGGGCAAGCGUUGUCCGGAUUUAUUGGGCGUAAAGAGCUCGUAGGCGGCUUGUCGCGUCGUGUGUGAAAUCUCAGGGCUCAACUCUGACAUUGCAUACGAUACGGGCAGGCUUGAGUUCGGUAGGGGAGACUGGAAUUCCUGGUGGUAGCGGUGAAAUGCGCAGAGUAUCAGGAGGAACACCGGUGGCGAAGGCGGGAUCUCCUGGGCCGAAGUGACUGACGCUGGAGGAGCGAAAGCAUGGGGAGCGAACAGGA